rnacentral:lncRNA from 1 species
GGGAAAAAAAAAACAAAGGAAGGAAGAGAGAAAAGAGAAUGAGAGGAAGAGAAGGAAGGGGAAAAACAAGAUUGACUUUACAGUAUGAGAUAUACUAUUAUAUAUUGGACCCUUGGUGGGCAGUGCCUAAACAGAGACAACUACAGGUUUCUGGCUGUGGCCACUCUCUGGUGAAACUAAGGGGUUUCUGUGUGGAGGUGCCUAACAGCCACCGUCCAGUUUGGUAGUAUGAUGCCUCUGGCUUCCCUCUAUCACACGUCUUCUUUUCGAGUAAAGGUUUUUCAUAAAUGUGAGCGUGGAAGAAGAAACCAGUUAAAUAUGGAACUUCACACCAGGACACAAAAGGACUUCAAACUUUUAGAUUCCACAAGUAUGUGAAAAGAUGCAGUAUUUGUCUUUCUGUGCAUGGUUUACUUCACUUAUCAUCAUGUCCCUCAGGUUCAUCCACGUUGUUGCAAAUGACAGGAUUUCAUUCAUUUUUAAGACUGAAUAGUACUCCAUUAUGCAAAUAUACCAGAUUUUCAUUGUCUAUUCGUUCACUGAUGAACACGGGUUAAUCCUAUAUGUUGGCUAUUGUGAAUAAAGCUGCAAUGAAUAUGAGAGUACAGAUAUAUUCUUGACAUAUUAAUUUUAUUUUAUUUGGCAAUAUACCCAAUAGUAGCUAGAUCAUAUCAGAGUUCUAUUUUUAAUUUUUGAGGAAACUUCAUACUGUUUUUCAUAAUAGUUAUUACUAAUUUACACUCAGUAUACAAGAGUUCCCUUUUCUCCACAUUCUUUCCAAAAUUUGUUUCCUUUUCCCUUUUUGAUAACAGCUACUCUAACUGGGGUGAAAUAAUAUCUCACUGUGGUUUUAAUUUUCAUUUAUCUGAUUAAUGAUUUUGAGCUUUUUAAA